CCUACGGGAGGCAGCAGUGGGGAAUAUUGCACAAUGGGGGAAACCCUGAUGCAGCGACGCCGCGUGAGUGAAGAAGUAUCUCGGUACGUAAAGCUCUAUCAGCAGGGCAGAAAAUGACGGUACCUGACUAAGAAGCCCCGGCUAACUACGUGCCAGCAGCCGCGGUAAUACGUCGGGGGCAAGCGUUAUCCGGAUUUACUGGGUGUAAAGGGAGCAUCGACGGCAGCACAGGUCUGGAGUGAAAUCCCGGGGCUUAACCCCGGAACUGCUUUGGAAACUGGGCGGCUGGAGUGCAGGAGGGGUAAGCGGAAUUCCUAGUGUAGCGGUGAAAUGCGUAGAUAUUAGGAGGAACACCGGUGGCGAAGGCGGCUUACUGGACUGUAACUGACGUUGAGGCUCGAAAGCGUGGGGAGCAAACAGGAUUAGAUACCCGUGUAGUC
rnacentral:rRNA from 1 species